UAAGCGCUGAAAGCAUCUAAGCGCGAAGCCCCCCUCAAGAUGAGAUUUCCCACUCGCAGGCUUGCCUGCGAGGUAAGACCCCUCGGAGAAGACGAGGUGGAUCGGUCCGAGGUGUAAGCGCAGCAAUGCGUUCAGCUGACGGAUCCGAAUCGGUCGAGGGCUUCUCCU
rnacentral:rRNA from 1 species